rnacentral:rRNA from 1 species
CUCUUUCUUGAUUCUUUGGGUGGUGGUGCAUGGCCGUUCUUAAUUGGAGGAGUGAUUUGUCGGGUUAAUUCCGUUAACGAACGAGACCUUAACCUGCUAAAUAGGGUACGGGAAUAAGCUUAGGCUGUCCCGUGAUCGCUUCUUAGAGGGACUUUGCGGUUAUAAAUCGCAAGGAAGUUUAAGGCAAUAACAGGUCUGUGAUGCCCUUAGAUGUCCUGGGCUGCACGCGCGCUACACUGAUGCGUUCAUCGAGUUUAUCCUUGGCCGAGAGGCCUGGGUAAUCUUUAGUACGCAUCGUGAUGGGGAUCGAUUAUUGCAAUUAUUAAUCGUGAACGAGGAAUGCCUAGUAUGCGC